rnacentral:lncRNA from 1 species
ACAGUAAGACCGGUCGACGGAUUGUCAAUAUGAGGUUCACAUGAGGAUACUAGAACAAUCGCAGCGCCAAGAAGAAAGAUCGAUACAUAUUAUUACUGUAAUCGAGGAAUUUAUUCAUGAAAGUAUGGAGAACGUUCUUGAAAUGUCUGAUCGAACUCUGCGUGCAAUUCAGGGCAACGAAGAACCAGAUUAACUCAAUCUACUAUCGUUACGUUUAUAAAGGUUUAAUAAUAAGCAGAAUAUUCUCGAAAGAGAAAUUAUAGAAAACGUUUGGAUCGCGUAUCGUUUUCCUUGAUGCUUAUCGUGAAGCGAAACAAAGAAUAUUUGCAGUGUGUGGCACUGCGGAACAUUUGAUAAAACCCGUUCGACCAAACGAGCGAAAGCGAGCAAGGUGAAUGGAGAGCACUCAGAAAAAGUUGCAACGACGCCAAAGACUAAUUACGUUCAUCAAGAAGGAGCCAUUUUCGUAAGAACGUAAAAAAGGAACACGAAAGAUACACGUCAGACAUUGUAAUCGUUGAUUGCACUCGCUGUACGCGCGUAGGUAUCAGGUACUCCAUUCAACCAUAACUCAUAACUUUUAUGACGCUUUCGCGAAGGUACCUUAUUAACAUUCAGCCGCACUAAUUUAUCCCUGGAGAACUGACUUUUAAUUGGGAAGUAUCAGGAACGACGUCGUACCUUCACGAGACGAUUAUUAUUACAAAUGUAACAGCAAAUGUAGCAGCAGCGAGCUUGAAAGUGGACGUACCGCCAACCUGAAGUUUUCAUCUAUCAAACUUUAAUAUUAAAGAGUAUAAUGUCAUAAGUACUGCGUAAUAUAAUGGAAUUCGUCAAAAAGAAAGUGUUGGCUAUUGAUGAAUCAAACAUUCGAUUUUUUGUUUUGUUUUAGAAUUUAGAUCAUAGAUCACGUAACUACAGACAAUACAGCAAUACUUUUACUUAUUUUCCUUUUGAUAGAUCACACAAUUUUACACACACAGGUACAAUGAAACAUUAACACUGAUAUAAUAACGACAAGAAGAUUUAAUUAACCACCGUCAGACACAAACAAUUGACUUUGGAAGCGCAGCGAAGAGAUUCGGAUUGUCCCCGCGAAGGAACGCAAGUUGCCAAUGUUGACGCGAACGUCCUUUUUUCGUUGCAAUUCAAGGGUAAUCCAUACAGGGUAAUCGCGACUGGGCUAAUCUAUGGUAAUGGAGUAUCCGGCCUCAUUGUCGAUCAUUGCCGUAUUACCAGGGCCAGAUUGCGAGCCGUCAUUAUCCCGCGCGUCUCUCGUGUUCCUAAACGAUCUAGAAAUGAUGCCUCGGUGAUUAUAGAGCUUCGGGGCCAGUUCAAUGCUCGUCAUGUACGGCCCCGUACUUCGAGUAUGCGAGAGAGUAAUCGCCGAUGAUGCAUCGCAUAAAAUAUUUCACUUGACGAAUAUUUCCGUGCGGCGUGGCUAAUGGCGCGCGAUCGUAAAACGCGACAGUUUUAAAACGCACUUUUCACCUCGUUUAAAAGGCCGACGGCAGCGGAACGGCAGCGAGCACAGGUUGCAACGCGAUAUUAUUCACUUCGAUAACGACCGUCGUCACUAAACACGUACAAUCCUGCCGCGCCGGUGGAAUUAAGUUUCUUCUCGUUCCUCGUUGCGCGAUCGUCUCGGUUUUCCGCGAUCGACUGGCGAAUGGAUUGUCUCUUGGCGAUUUUACGUGACAGGAAGUGAAAAAUAAAAUUUACUCCUAUGCGGAGCAUUUCUUCGAGAAUAGGAGACGGUCUCUGUAAUCUCUGUCUUCUAUAAUCCAUACUUGGAGCCAUACUUGGAGCCAUACUUGGAAAACCCUUAUUGUCGUUAGCGCCAGGUGCAAUAAAAUUUAAGAUGUUUAGUCAUUGUGAGUGUCUACCGCGUCAAUGUCAAAAAUCCGCCGAAAUC